GAUGAACGCUGGCGGCGUGCCUAAUACAUGCAAGUCGAGCGAACAGAUGAGGAGCUUGCUCCUCUGACGUUAGCGGCGGACGGGUGAGUAACACGUGGAUAACCUACCUAUAAGACUGGGAUAACUUCGGGAAACCGGAGCUAAUACCGGAUAAUAUAUUGAACCGCAUGGUUCAAUAGUGAAAGACGGUUUUGCUGUCACUUAUAGAUGGAUCCGCGCCGCAUUAGCUAGUUGGUAAGGUAACGGCUUACCAAGGCAACGAUGCGUAGCCGACCUGAGAGGGGGAUCGGCCACACUGGAACUGAGACACGGUCCAGACUCCUACGGGAGGCAGCAGUAGGGAAUCUUCCGCAAUGGGCGAAAGCUUGACGGAGCAACGCCGCGUGAGUGAUGAAGGUCUUCGGAUCGUAAAACUCUGUUAUUAGGGAAGAACAAAUGUGUAAGUAACUAUGCACGUCUUGACGGUACCUAAUCAGAAAGCCACGGCUAACUACGU
rnacentral:rRNA from 1 species